CAAGGAUGUAGUUACCGCAUGUGUGUGCAUGUGCGUUUGUCUGUGAAUGUCACUGAUAUGACUGCCAGCCACUUCCCCUCUCAACAUGCCCGCAACGAUGCACCUCACUCUGCUGGUGUCCCUGUUAACAGCGACAGUCAUCAGUGAAACCACCACUUCCUCCAGCUCAUCCACUGCACAAACAACCACUAACAAACCAUACUCACAAACAACAAUACUCCAGACUACCACUGAAAGAACAACACAUCCAACCACAGCUGAAACGACAACACAUCCAACUACAGCUGAAACGACAACACAUCCAACUACAGCUGAAACGACAACACAUCCAACUACAGCUGAAACGACAGUGCAGUCCACGACCAUCAUCACUUCGGCUUCACCAAAAACGCAGCAGACAGACGACACCACCCCCAGCCCACCUCCUCAAACCACAGCAAACAACCAGACAUCAAAUGAGACAGCUUUGCCAACUGAAACAACGCUCCCAUCUGCAUCAGCAUCACCAAACAUCACUGCAACCACCACUGUGAACACAACCGACACAGGUUUUUCACCCGACUGGGAAAAAGAUGACCUGGCGUCAAACCCCGGCCUAGUCGCUAUCAUUUGCAUCUUCUGUAUCGUCCUCGCCCUCGUUCUCGUGGUACUCACAGUGAAAUGUAUCCGAUCGCCGAGAUCCAAUUUUGAGAGGCUCGAAGAUAUGCCGAUGGUGAGAUAGAAAACGUGACAGAUAUUCACAGUUCCAGAGGGUGAAUCCUAAUCUUAAUCUUACUGUAGGUCUGGUAUACAUCUUAAAAAUCAGCACUGAAACACACAAAAUGACAAACUUCUUGAAUAUUGUUUCAAGAAUAUAAUUCAUGAGUUUUAGUAUGAGGCUCUGCCUGCUGUAGGUUACUCAUCCCAGCAGGGGGAGGCAGGUGCUGGUUAACACGUAGAAAACAUGGAUUUGCCCGUAACAUGGAUUUGGAGCAAGGCCAACACGUUCCAGGAUUUUGCUUCACGGGGAUGUUAAGUGUCAGCCCCCCACCAUGAGUAACACGUAAAAGUUUCCCAGCAUUAAAUGUCGUCUUCUUCUUGUUCCUGUCUCCUUAGUAAUGAGGACAGUGGUUUCUCAUUUACACGAACAGGAAGUGUGAGUGGAUUGUCUGUGUGUGAAAAGUGUGGUGACUAUUUCUCAAGAGAAGCUUAUCAUUAGAGCCGCAUCAGCGCGUCGCCAGAUAGUUUUAAACUGUUGGCAUAUCUCAAUCUCAGCAGCAAGGGUCUAAUCAAGAAUGGGAUUUCUGAAAAGCAAACCUUCUCUCUCACACUUACGGAGCACUUACAAGUUCAUGUAUGUAUCUAGUGUGCAGAGACAAUAUCACAAAGACUUUUCAGAUGACCCACAAUGAGGCUGCCAAUAUGUGUGAAAUAGAAUAAAAUACUGCUAUUCUGGUAACCGCUGCAAAACAAGACCUGCAGCGCUGUACGGACCAGUGUUCUUUAUAAGGUGUUCUACGAGUGUAAAUCUUUAUUGCUGCAUGACUGGGCAUUGUGCUGGAGUGUACUUUAUACCGUACGAGCUACAUAUCCGACAACAUGAGCUGAAAAACAACUGAUCCUCCAAUAUGAGCAGGUCGGGACUUAAUGAUAACUUGCAGGGUUAAUAAAUGACAAACAAUCCCCUGUAGAAAUCGGAUAAUAUGAUCUAGAUAAUGUCCAUGUAUGACCACAUCCAUGACGCUUUUUUUCUUCACACAUUCUUAGCAAUUUCCUUUUGAUUAUUCCUGACAUUAUGAGAAAAGAGAAUAAGAUAAGUAUGAAACAUUUAAGCUUCCCUUCCCAGGAGUUUCUCAACCUCAUCUUCACAUGGUAAUCCCUUCUCACAUUCACUAAUUUAACAUUUAAAACGGGUAAAAAGACGGUUUUUUCAGAGGCUUGUCUCCGUCAGCUGAUUGUCAGUCCUUAACGUUAAUUACAUUAAUAUACCUAAAGCGGGACCGCAAAGACUUCACCUAUUGUUAAUCUGAACGGGGAAAAGAAUGCCUAUCACUGUAAUCGGAUAAAAGAAAAACAACAGAACACAUUGUACUGUAAAAGAACCACUUUAGUUCAGAUGGUAAAGCAGGUACUGGACAUUCAGUGCAGGCACUUUAUCACCACGCUGACUGCUGGUUAACUAUGAAUGGGUUGUUUGUUUUCUGUGAACUCUCAGGGCAAAGUGAAUGAGGAGUCUCCGUUCGCCCACUACUCGAAAUGACAGAAUGCCCUUGUGGACGCCGAAGGCCCGGGACGGGUCCAACCUGCCGAACGACUCUGACAUCAUCAGGCUCGGCUUUACGUAGCACUUUAUUCAAUGCCAGUGAAAUAUUUUGGCCUCAUUCAUUUUGGUUUUAAUUAAGUGUAAUCAGCUAACUACAACUGUCGCUUCCUCCAUAGUAAAAUCUGAAAAUCAGCCUGAAAGGUAAACCUUCAUACAUAACGCUUGCUAAACUGGUGACAUGUAUAAUCUUGUAAGCACUACAACUCAGAUUUACACUGGUGAUUUAAUAAGAGUGCAGAUUUCGAUUUUACAUAACGCUUUAACAAAGUCAUAACUGGAAUGUACAAGUGUACAAAUGUGAUCUUAUCUGGAGUGGCAUAUAUGAUGUAUGAAUUGUGGGGUCUGAGGUCUUCUGUGCAAGCAAAGCUCAGACGCAAAAAGUCACAGUGCUGAGCACAUGUUUUAGACCACCGGCCAGUGUAAGGUUUAUGCCAUAGCUGUUAUAAAUUAACAAUUCUGGUACUUACCAAAAUCAUUUUUUAAUGAUUCUGUAAUAGUUAAACCACCAGUGUGCUCUUAAAUUAAGAUCAUAUUUUUAAUGCUAAAAUAUAAAUAUUGUUGUUAUAAAAAUAGAAUAAAAAGAGUAAAGGCAUCAUUAGUUUAUGAUUAAAUUAACUUUGAUUAAAACCUACUUACUUGCAUUCUUGAACAGAACAAUUACUGCUUGAACGUCAUGCUUGAUUAAUUUCUGACUUCCUACAGACAUCCUCAGUGUUUUAAACUUGUUUUAAAUGAGCUUUUUGGCACAGUUCAAAAAUAUUUUUCUUUUGUUUUUCUAAUAGCAGGUAGUCUAAUAAAUGUGUUAUGCACUGGAAAUAUCAGAAAAACUGUGGGGCCACUGACAGAAUCUUUAUGGUUAAAACACUAAACAAUAGGCUCAUGUUCUUAUUACUGAUAGAAAAAAUACUUGUGUAUUUGUAUGCACUAAAACAGGUACCGCUAAUUAUUUCUAUGUUCACUCUAAAAUUAAUAUCAGGCCAUUCACAUUAGUCACAUCAGAAAUGUUUCCAGGUUCAGGAAAAUCUCGGGACUCAUUUCCAACAAAAACACGUGCAAUUCUACUUUGUCUUGCUAAUCUUGAUGAAUGUAAACAGAUUUGCUUAUGCUUAUAAACAGAUUCAAAUAUAGAAUUGGAUCCUUUCUGCUUUAAAUGCCUUAAUAAUUAAUAUCCCUGAGCUAGCCUGCACAAAAAUGAUAAAAGUCAUAUUUCUAGACAUUUUAAUUGUGGCUCAAAGUAACUUUUUUCAUGAAAUGCUGUCACACUGAGUCUGUGUGGCAAAUCUGCUAUCCUACACUCAAUUUUGCAGUGACUUGAAUGCUUUCCUGCCAUUUCAACAAAAUGAUUUAAUAAGUCAGUGUUUUGUAAAUCGGGACGAUGACAUGCUGUGUACCAACUACAUAAUUGUGAUGUUUUAAUGAAAAUAAAAACCUUGAUGUGGUGUUUUUCACUUUCCUGUAAUGUGUCCCUUGUUGCUACCUCAGGUUAAGAUUACGUAAACCUUUUACCCAGCCAGUUAUCUGGAAAACCCCACCAGCAACUUCCUUUAACCUACGUCUUCAGCUAUGUACCAACAUGCCAGAGCUCCUCAGACACAUGACUCACACUCCAAAGAUAAAGAGAAACAUCUCCAGGGCUCGAAGGUGAGGAUUACCCAAAAAGGCCAUGACUAUUUAAGAGGACUGGCGAUUGAGGCUAAACCAAAUGAGCGUCUGGAUAAGAAUGUGACUGGGACCUCAUUACCAAGACAUCCUGCCAAUGAAAAUAUAAAUGGGCUACAUGAAAGUGUGACCACUCAAGCGGUUUUGUUUGUAUUAGAACUGUAAAUGAU
ensembl:lncRNA